UUGAGGUCAACUUCAGCGCAUGCGUGGUUUGUGACACUUGUUGGAGCGGAAGUAAGAAAGUUGUAAAUAAUUUUGAAAGUUAUUAUCAUCUUAUAUUGAUUAGCAGGAAAGAAAAUCGACUCAAAAUGGCAGAUGAAGAGGAAGUUAUCAUGACCCCCACAAAGAAAGGGAAGGCAACUCAUAUCAGAAUAGAGAGAAAGAGGAAGUUGAAUAUGAGUGCUACAGAAGAGCAGAGACACCAUGUUGCCGGUGGGGAACACAAGGGACUGGUUAUCAACAAGUCUUC